rnacentral:RNase_P_RNA from 1 species
AGUUGGCCAGGCAAUCGCUGAAUUUCAGAGGAAAGUCCGGGCUCCAACGGGAACGAUGCCAGGUAACACCUGGAAGGCGCGAGCCUAUGGAAAGUGCAUCAGAAAAUAUACCGCUUUAACUAUUUAAAGUAAGGGUGAAAAGGUGCGGUAAGAGCGCACCGCCUCAUUGGUAACAAUUGAGGGCAUUGCAAACCCCAUCGGGAGCAAGACCAAAUAGAAGAGUAAUGAUAUCCCGUAAUCACUCUUGGGUAGGUCGCUUGAGGUGCUUGGUGACAAGCAUCCCAGAUGAAUGAUUGUACAAAGACAGAACCCGGCUUAUAGGCCAACUCC